rnacentral:ncRNA from 2 species
UAGGCUGUGGGUGCAGCUGGUUCGCCCUGCCCGCCAGGCAGACGCGUCGCAAGAGGGAACCCGGUGGGAAUCCGGGACUGCCCCGCAGCGGUGAGCGGGAACGACCGCCGUCAUACGCACUGGGUCCGAAGGAACGGGCCCGGGAAGCGACGGCCAGUAGGUGUCCUCCCCCGUGAGGACGUGCCCGCGAGUCCGAAGACCUGCCAUCUGCCCGUGUGCGAA